rnacentral:misc_RNA from 1 species
GAUGAAGAACGUAGCGAAAUGCGAUACUUAGUGUGAAUUGCAGAAUCCCGUGAACCAUCGAGUCUUUGAACGCAAGUUGCGCCCGAAGCCAUCAGGUUGAGGGCACGUCUGCCUGGGCGUCACAUAUCGUUGCCCAAUGCCUAUUGCAGUGCAAUAGGAAUUUCUAGGGCGAAUGAUGGCUUCCCGUGAGCGUUGUUGCCUCGCGGUUGGUUGAAAAUCGAGUCCUUGGUAGGGUGUGCCAUGGUAGAUGGUGGUCGAGUUAGAACGAUACCGAUCAUGUGCAUGCUCCCCAAAAUAUGGCCUCUAUGACCCACACGCGUCUUUUGACGCUCAUGACGAGACCUCAGGUCAGGCGGGGCUACCCGCUGAAUUUAAGCAUAUCAAUAAGCGGAGGA